rnacentral:rRNA from 1 species
AGUAAAUAGAUACCCCGGUAGUCCACGCUGUAAAACGAUGUCGAUUUGGAGUCUGUGCCACUAUGAGCGUGGGUUCCGAAAGCUAACGCGAUAAAUCGACCGCCUGGGGAGUACGGCCGCAAGGUUAAAACUCAAAUGAAUUGACGGGGGCCCGCACAAGCGGUGGAGCAUGUGGUUUAAUUCGAUGCAAACGCGAAGAACCUUACCUGGCCUUGACAUGCUGAGAACUUUCCAGAGAUGGAUUGGUGCCUUCGGGAACUCAGACACAGGUGCUGCAUGGCUGUCGUCAGCUCGUGUCGUGAGAUGUUGGGUUAAGUCCCGCAGCGAGCGCAACCCCUAUCCUUGUUGCCAGCGGGUAAUGCCGGGAACUCAAGGGAGACUGCCGGUGAUAAACCGG